rnacentral:rRNA from 1 species
UACGUAGGGUGCAAGCGUUAAUCGGAAUUACUGGGCGUAAAGCGUGCGCAGGCGGUUAUGCAAGACAGAUGUGAAAUCCCCGGGCUUAACCUGGGAACUGCACUUGUGACUGCACAGCUGGAGUACGGCAGAGGGGGAUGGAAUUCCGCGUGUAGCAGUGAAAUGCGUAGAUAUGCGGAGGAACACCGAUGGCGAAGGCAGUCCCCUGGGCCUGUACUGACGCUCAUGCACGAAAGCGUGGGGAGCAAACAGG